UCAGAGAUGAGUGGAAAUGGUCAGAUCAGAGCAACAGCUCCUUCAGAUACUGGGCCACUGGUCAACCAAAUAACGACGGAGUCUGUACAUUGUACAGCCCAUCUCUCACAGGAUUCAUGGACAGAGGCUGUACUUACUCUAUACCCUUCAUCUGCUAUGAGGGUUCUGCCAAUCAAGAAACAAAACACACCAGAACUGUUAAGGUGGAAUUUAAGUCAUCUUUGAACUUAAAUGACUUCAGUGUGAGUGAUGCCAUUCUGCAGCAGAUCCAAUCAAAGUACCAGAAUGCCAAGGUUCAGUGGAGAGUCCAGCCUGAUGGGAAAAUUUUCCAUAAGGAAGAGGAGAAGGAAAUCAAGGAUGCCUGUUAGAAUACGACAUGAAGUUUUCCUGCAGUGAAAAAUUACUCACGAUUUUGCAUGUAGAGAAUAAGCAAAACUAGCCUAGCGUUAAACGACUAGAGAUAAAGGGAGACUUUGUUUUACUGUUUGUUUUUAAAGUCUGCUCACAUUAUAUAAUGGAAUGCUUUCAUUUGGAGGGUCUUUUUUAAGCAUGUGGCAUAUAUAAUAUGCAUAUGUGAUAUAUUAAAUAUUCAUUAAAAGUCAGUUAAAAGUCUGUUGAUUUAUUACU